rnacentral:snoRNA from 1 species
AACUAGAACCCUACACAUUUGUAAGCUAGUGAAUGUGGUGUCAAAAAAGGCAUAAAUUAACACUUUGCAGAUUUUUCCAACCCUUAACUUUUAUAUCUUUGGUGUAGGACAUGCCUAAGGAACAAAC